rnacentral:lncRNA from 1 species
AAACAGAUACAUUUAAUUUUAAAUAACCUUAAUAAAGAAAAAUAAUUUAUUUUCCUUUUAAAUGACAAUAAUACUAAAUUGAGAAACAUAUUGGAGCAAAUGAGUAAAUAGUAUUCGAUUUGCAAAAUAGUGAUUGAGGAAGCAUGUGAGUCUGGUACACCCAUGCUUUGAUUGGGGUUAGUGAAGCACAUGGUAAGGCUUAUCCCUGUAAACUUGUGUUCCCUUCCCCGUUUCCAAAUACGCUUUGACGAGCCUUGUCUCCAUCCAUAUAUAGGGCCCUCGCCAAUUUAUUCAACUCAAUUCAUGAUUAAUAUAUUCUUUAAUUUGCUAAUUAAUUCCCCAAUGGAUGCUGCAAAGCUUCUGCCAAGUCAAAGAAACGAUUUGCAAUUC